AAUGAACGCCGGCGGCGUGCUUAACACAUGCAAGUCGAACGAGAAAGUCCUUCGGGGCUAGUAAAGUGGCAAACGGGUGAGUAACGCGUGAGAAUUUACCUUUUAGUGAAGGAUACUCCCGAGAAAUCGGGGUUAAUACUGCAUAAGUCUCUACGGAGAGAAAGGCGGCCUCUUUGCUGUCGCUAAAAGAUAAGCUUGCGUCCUAUUAGCUAGUUGGUGUGGUAAAGGCGCACCAAGGCAAUGAUGGGUAACCGGCCUGAGAGGGUGUACGGUCACACUGGAACUGAGACACGGUCCAGACUCCUACGGGAGGCAGCAGUGGGGAAUAUUGCACAAUGGGCGAAAGCCUGAUGCAGCGACGCCGCGUGGAGGAAGAAGGUCUUCGGAUUGUAAACUCCUGUUAAAUGGGAAGAAAGACUUCUGGCUAAUACCCAGAGGGGAUGACGGUACCAUUAGAGAAAGCACCGGCUAACUUCGUGCCAGCAGCCGCCGUAA
rnacentral:rRNA from 1 species